rnacentral:rRNA from 1 species
UACGUAGGUGGCGAGCGUUGUCCGGAUUUACUGGGCGUAAAGAGCGCGCAGGCGGUCGGCCAAGUCGAGUGUGAAAGCCCCCGGCUCAACUGGGGAGGGUCACUUGAUACUGGUCGACUCGAAGGCGGGAGAGGGAAGUGGAAUUCCCGGUGUAGUGGUGAAAUGCGUAGAUAUCGGGAGGAACACCGGUGGCGAAGGCGGUCUGCUGGGGUGAGGCUGACGCUGAUGCGCGACAGCGUGGGGAGCAAACAGG